UCUAAUUCUCUGAAACUAUCUCUAAAUCCUAACCUCCUUCCCCGCCUUCAUCAAAUUUUCCCCCAAACCCUUCACCCCACCACAAUCUUCUCUUGCUUGGCUUCGUGUUCGUCUUCUCCUGCUCUCCAUCGUGUUCGUCUUCUCCUGCUUGGUUGAGCGUGGAGUUGAAGGCGUCGAGGCGUCGAGCCAUCUGUGGAUUGAGCGAGUUCGAGGUGCUCUGGCGCACUCCCACACUGACCGUCAAGCUCCCCAGCUCUCUAUUGCUUGCCCCCAGAAAAGCCAGAACAAAUAUAUGUUCCUCAGAGAAACGCUGCUUGGAACCAAAGAAGGUGAACCCAGAUGCUUCGUUGUACGCAGUGUUUUGAAGGAUGCUCAAAACCAUACCCUCAUCUGAAGUCCAGAUACAUUGUUGUGUUUGAUCCUUUGGAUGGAUCCUCAAACAUUGACUGCGAAGUUUCUAUUUGAACUAUCUUUGGAAUUUAUAUGGUAAAGAAUGAGGUUAAAGUAAGUGUUGAAGAUGCAAUGCAACCUGGAAACCAAAUGCUAGCAGCAGGUUACUGCAUGUAUGAAAGCUCUUGCACGGUAAAACAGACAAAAUCUGUGAAACUAACAUAUUUCCUUUUCACAAUGAAUUUCAAGGUUGUCCUGUUUUUCUUAUACUAACAUAAUUGGAAGUUCCCUAUUUUUCUAGUCACGAAUAUAUGUGAUUGGUAUUGAUGAAGCACAAUUCUUCGAUGACCUUUAUGAAUUCUGCCGUAAAGCUGCUGAUGAUGAUGGAAAAACAAUAAUAGUUUCAGGAUUAGAUGGGAACACAUGAGGUAAUACUAUAUAGAUUUAAAAUGCCCCUUCUGUUUGGUGGGGUUGAA